GACGAACCGUACGAACGUUAUUCGGAAUCACUGGGCUUAAAGGGUGCGUAGGCUGUGCGGAAAGUUGGGUGUGAAAUACCUCAGCUUAACUGAGGAACUGCAUUCAAAACUACCGUGCUAGAGGAAGAUAGAGGUGAGCGGAACUUAGGGUGGAGCGGUGAAAUGCGUUGAUAUCCUAAGGAACACCGGUGGCGAAAGCGGCUCACUGGAUCUUUUCUGACGCUGAGGCACGAAAGCUAGGGUAGCGAACGGG
rnacentral:rRNA from 1 species